rnacentral:lncRNA from 1 species
UCAGGUCUAAGGACAAAGCGUAUAUGUUGUUUAAAGAGAGAACUACUUCUCGUGUUGGGUCAGUCCUAACACAUGUCUCCACAUGUGUCCACAUUAUUAGUUCAACAUCUCCAUGUCCAUGACUUGUGAAACAUAGUCAUCAACUAAUACAUGUGCUAGUCUAAUAUUCAUGUGUGUCCUCACAUGAACUCCGACUAGGGACAACUUUAGAAUAACCAUACAAGUAAAGAGUUUCACAUACAAUUCACAUAAUUGCAAAUCAAUUCAAGUAGCCUUUAAUGGAUAUUCAAUGAACACAAUAUACAAAUCAUGGAUACAAAUGGAAUAUCAUCAUCUCUAUGAUUGCCUUUAGGGCAUACCUCCAAC